rnacentral:pre_miRNA from 1 species
AAAAAGGCAAACCCUGGGUUUCCAUGUCCAACGUUUGACUAUCCGUCUUAUAUGAAAUUUUUUUAUAAUUAGUAUUUUCAUUAUUGUUAGAUGAUAAAAUAUGAUUAAUACUUUAUGCGUGACUUAUCUUUUUAAUUUUUUUUUAUAAUUUUAUCAAAUAAGACGGACGGUCAAACGUUGGACACGGAAAUCCAGGGUUUGUCUUUUU